CCCAACUAUCCCUAUUAAUCAUUACGUCGAUCCUAGAAACCAACAAAAUAGGAGAUCAAACGUCCUAUUUUAUUAUUCCAUGCUAAUGUAUUCAAGCGCGAGCUUGCUUUAAACACUCUAAUUUUUUCAAAGUAACAGUCCUGAUUCCCCGCCACACCAACUAAAUAGCAUAACGGUUCAUCAGAAGGGAGGAAUCAGUGACACCGAAGGUACGACCAGCUUACUGAUCCCGAAAUUCAACUACGAGCUUUUUAACUGCAACAACUUUAAUAUACGCUAUUGGAGCUGGAAUUACCGCGGCUGCUGGCACCAGACUUGCCCUCCAA
rnacentral:misc_RNA from 2 species